rnacentral:rRNA from 1 species
UAUGCCUACGGGGGGCAGCAGUGGGGGAUAUUACACAAUGGGGGAAACCCUGAUGCAGCGACGCCGCGUGGGAGAAGAAGCGCCUCGGCGCGUAAAGCCCUGUCAGCAGGGAAGAAAAUGGCGGUACCUGAAGAAGAAGCCCCGGCUAACUACGUGCCAGCAGCCGCGGGAAUACGUAGGGGGCAAGCGUUAUCCGGAUUUACUGGGUGUAAAGGGGGCGCAGACGGCGCUGCAAGCCAGG